CUCGCGCGUGUCCGUGUGCGCCGUUCGCACGUUUGCGUCGGCGCUGUGCGUGUGUGCGCAAAUUGUAAAAGUAUGAGCUUGUUAAUUCCAAUAAGGGCCUUUGCCUUGUUGUGGUUUGGUGGGAUGGGAGGGUGGAGGAGGGUGGAGGAGGGGAGGACAUCUUGAAGUGGCUGACCAAGAUCGCCAGAAAUCUGCCAGAAUUCCAUCCCGACGCUCAGUGCCAGCUGCCCUGCAUGUUGAUCACCCAUCAGCCUUCCUGCUCUACUCUGUCAUGGAACCAUUUCCACAAAUAAUCUGUUUAUUUAUUCAUUCGCCUUCUUAAUGACUUUCCGACACUUGCGCGUUUUUGUUUUUGUUUUUUUCUUCCCCCCACAUCUUGCUUCAUGGCAUUGGAGAUGGGAGGACGAGCUGCAAAGGAAACCAGAGUGAUUUCAUUCGCUGGUGAUGCAGAGAAGAAAGUUAAUCUGUCUGAGGGGAGAGAUGGGAGGUUUUCUGCAGCUGAAAUGAGAUCCAGAUCUGAAUCAAGGAGUGAUUGGUAACGAAAGGAUGGGAUGGAAAGGAGACGGAGAAGGGAUUUUCUCUUUCACCCUCAUGGUCACGGCCAUGUUGAUGACUCACACUUGGGUAU